UACGGGGGGAGCAAGCGUUGUUCGGAUUUACUGGGCGUAAAGGGCGCGUAGGCGGCCACCGCAAGUCGACUGUGAAAUCUCCGGGCUUAACCCGGAAAGGCCAGCCGAUACUGCGGGGCUAGAGUGCAGAAGGGGCAACUGGAAUUCUCGGUGUAGCGGUGAAAUGCGUAGAUAUCUGGAGGAACACCGGUGGCGAAGGCGACGUCCUGGACCGGCAUUGACGCUGAGGCGCGAAAGCGUGGGGAGCAAACAGG
rnacentral:rRNA from 1 species